GGCUCUGGCACUUGGCGCGCAGAGAGCUGGACUGGCUGGGCUGUCUACACACACUAGCUCAUCGAAACCGCCCAAGGCCGAGCCCACAAGGUGGUCUGUGACCAGCCGAGGUCAGCAGGGCAGAACACUGUCCCCCUCCUCUCCUGUGAGUAUCCAGAGAGAGCUGCCCCUUCUGUGAAACCCUCAAGAUCCUUGGGCUUCACCAUGGACAACAACAUGGAGCUUCCUCUAAAAAUUAACGUAGAAUGACCACAUGACCCCGCAAUGACACUUCUGAGUAUACACCCAACGGAAUUGAAAGCAGAGACUCAGAGCCCUCCCGGCCUUCAUCUCCACCUUGCCCUCCUCCGAGUCCUGUCCCAGGGCUGAUGGUGGGCAGCACACGCUACUGAGUGAGUGGAUGGAGGAACGCGCAAAUCGAUGCCCGAGCCGCCUGCCCUGGUCUGCGCCAAGGAGAUAAUGUGAUGGCCGAGAUGGGCCGCAUCCUUCUGCCACAACGCCUGUGCCUGAACGCAGGGUCCGGGGCCCCAGGGCCUCCUCCCAUCCCUUUCAUUCCUCUCGACUUGUUGUAGUGUUUUUAAUUUGCUAUUUAAUGUCAUUCUAAGUAAAGAAAAAUUAAAAAUUUAUAUUAUUCAUAUUUUGAAUAAACGUUAAUAAAACAAAACAAACAAAUUUUGAAUUUUGAUGUUCACGUAUAUUUUGUGCGAUGCCAGUUUUAAAUGCAAAGUCCCUAGCCUGCAUGCGGACUCACCGAAUUACACUAUUCGUGCUUCGUCAUUUGCACAGUGGUCCCCGCUUAGCCGAGGUUUCCCUCUUCAUGGUUUUACU
rnacentral:lncRNA from 1 species